rnacentral:rRNA from 1 species
AGUCAAUAGAUACCCGGGUAGUCCAUGCCGUAAACGAUGAUUGCUAGGUGUGGGGGGUCUGACCCCUUCCGUGCCGGAGUUAAACACAAAUAAGCAAUCCACCUGGGGAGUACGGCCGCAAGGUUGAAACUCAAAGGAAUUGACGGGGGCCCGCACAAGCAGUGGAGUAUGUGGUUUAAUUCGAAGCAACGCGAAGAACCUUACCAGGUCUUGACAUCCACCGAAUCCUGUAGAGAUACGGGAGUGCCCUUCGGGGAACGGUGAGACAGGUGGUGCAUGGUUGUCGUCAGCUCGUGUCGUGAGAUGUUGGGUUAAGUCCCGCAACGAGCGCAACCCUUGUGAAUAGUUGCUACGAAAGAGCACUCUAUUCAGACCGCCGUUGACAAAACGGAGGAAGGUGGGGAUGACGUCAAAUCAUCAUGCCCCUUAUGACCUGGGCUACACACGUACUACAAUGGCCGUUAACAGAGGGAUGCAAUACCGCGAGGUGGAGCGAACCCCUAAAAACGGUACUCAGUUCAGAUUGCAGGCUGAAACUCGCCUGCAU